GAUGAACGCUGGCGGCGUGCCUAAUACAUGCAAGUCGAGCGAACAGACGAGGAGCUUGCUCCUCUGACGUUAGCGGCGGACGGGUGAGUAACACGUGGAUAACCUACCUAUAAGACUGGGAUAACUUCGGGAAACCGGAGCUAAUACCGGAUAAUAUAUUGAACCGCAUGGUUCAAUAGUGAAAGACGGUUUUGCUGUCACUUAUAGAUGGAUCCGCGCCGCAUUAGCUAGUUGGUAAGGUAACGGCUUACCAAGGCAACGAUGCGUAGCCGACCUGAGAGGGGGAACGGGCAAACUGGAACUGAGAAAAGGUCCAGACUCCUAAGGGAGGGAGCAGUAGGGAAUCUUCCGCAAUGGGCGAAAGCCUGACGGAGCAACGCCGCGUGAGUGAUGAAGGUCUUCGGAUCGUAAAACUCUGUUAUUAGGGAAGAACAAAUGUGUAAGUAACUAUGCACGUCUUGACGGUACCUAAUCAGAAAGCCACGGCUAACUACGUG
rnacentral:rRNA from 1 species